rnacentral:rRNA from 1 species
GAUGAACGCUGGCGGCGUGCCUAAUACAUGCAAGUCGAGCGAACAGAUGAGGAGCUUGCUCCUCUGACGUUAGCGGCGGACGGGUGAGUAACACGUGGAUAACAUACCUAUAAGACUGGGAUAACUUCGGGAAACCGGAGCUAAUACCGGAUAAUAUAUUGAACCGCAUGGUUCAAUAGUGAAAGACGGUUUUGCUGUCACUUAUAGAUGGAUCCGCGCCGCAUUAGCUAGUUGGUAAGGUAACGGCUUACCAAGGCAACGAUGCGUAGCCGACCUGAGAGGGUGAUCGGCCACACUGGAACUGAGACACGGUCCAGACUCCUACGGGAGGCAGCAGUAGGGAAUCUUCCGCAAUGGGCGAAAGCCUGACGAAGCAACGCCGCGUGAGUGAUGAAGGUCUUCGGAUCGUAAAACUCUGUUAUUAGGGAAGAACAAAUGUGUAAGUAACUAUGCACGUCUUGACGGUACCUAAUCAGAAAGCCACGGCUAACUACGUG